AUGAGCAGGAAAAGAAAAUAUCAACCAAAUAACUCCCCGAUUUGAAAAUCAAUUAAAUCUGAAAUUACAUCCAUAUCUGUCGUUGUAUGCAUUCAUUGCAAUAUGUCUGUGUCUAUGAGUGGCCGAGUCAAAUCUAAUCCAGGUUAUUUACCAUUAAAGCUGAAUAUAUGGUUAAAUUGAGAGAGUAUGUGGUUGCGAAAGUCAUUUUGGAGCCAAUGGUUUGUUAUUUAUUUGGAUACAAUCUAUUUUUUUAUAGAGAUUAAAGAAAAAGUUUAAUCCGC